UACAGAGGGUGCGAGCGUUAAUCGGAAUUACUGGGCGUAAAGCGCACGUAGGUGGCGACGUCAGUCGGGUGUGAAAGCCCCGGGCUCAACCUGGGAAUUGCAUUCGAGACUGCAUUGCUGGAGUACGGAAGAGGAGGGCGGAAUUCCCGGUGUAGCUGUGAAAUGCGUAGAUAUCGGGAGGAACAUCAGUGGCGAAGGCGGCCCUCUGGUCCAGUGCUGACACUCAAGUGCGAAAGCGUGGGGAGCAAACAGG
rnacentral:rRNA from 1 species